AACGAACGCUGGCGGCAGGCCUAACACAUGCAAGUCGAACGCCCUAGCAAUAGGGAGUGGCAGACGGGUGAGUAACACGUGGGAACCUUCCCUAUAGUACGGAAUAUACCAGGGAAACUUGGAGCAAUACCGUAUACGCCCGAGAGGGGAAAGAUUUAUCGCUAUAGGAUGGGCCCGGCGUAGGAUUAGCUAGUUGGUGAGGUAAUGGCUCACCAAGGCGACGAUCCUUAGCUGGUUUGAGAGAACGACCAGCCACACUGGGACUGAGACACGGCCCAGACUCCUACGGGAGG
rnacentral:rRNA from 1 species